rnacentral:rRNA from 1 species
UACGGGGGGGGCAAGCGUUGUUCGGAAUUACUGGGCGUAAAGGGCGCGUAGGCGGCCACCGCAAGUCGACUGUGAAAUCUCCGGGCUUAACCCGGAAAGGUCAGCCGAUACUGCGGGCUAGAGUGCAGAAGGGGCAACUGGAAUUCUCGGUGUAGCGGUGAAAUGCGUAGAUAUCGAGAGGAACACCUGCGGCGAAGGCGGGUUGCUGGGCUGACACUGACGCUGAGGCGCGAAAGCUAGGGGAGCGAACGGG